GGGGGGGUUUAACACAUGCAAGUCGAGCGGGGGAAGGUAGCUUGCUACUGGACCUAGCGGCGGACGGGUGAGUAAUGCUUAGGAAUCUGCCUAUUAGUGGGGGACAACAUCUCGAAAGGGAUGCUAAUACCGCAUACGUCCUACGGGAGAAAGCAGGGGAUCUUCGGACCUUGCGCUAAUAGAUGAGCCUAAGUCGGAUUAGCUAGUUGGUGGGGUAAAGGCCUACCAAGGCGACGAUCUGUAGCGGGUCUGAGAGGAUGAUCCGCCACACUGGGACUGAGACACGGCCCAGACUCCUACGGGAGGCAGCAGUGGGGAAUAUUGGACAAUGGGGGGAACCCUGAUCCAGCCAUGCCGCGUGUGUGAAGAAGGCCUUAUGGUUGUAAAGCACUUUAAGCGAGGAGGAGGCUACUUUAGUUAAUACCUAGAGAUAGUGGACGUUACUCGCAGAAUAAGCACCGGCUAACUCUGUGCCAGCAGCCGCGGUAAUACAGAGGGUGCGAGCGUUAAUCGGAUUUACUGGGCGUAAAGCGUGCGUAGGCGGCUUAUUAAGUCGGAUGUGAAAUCCCCGAGCUUAACUUGGGAAUUGCAUUCGAUACUGGUGAGCUAGAGUAUGGGAGAGGAUGGUAGAAUUCCAGGUGUAGCGGUGAAAUGCGUAGAGAUCUGGAGGAAUACCGAUGGCGAAGGCAGCCAUCUGGCCUAAUACUGACGCUGAGGUACGAAAGCAUGGGGAGCAAACAGGAUUAGAUACCCUGGUAGUCCAUGCCGUAAACGAUGUCUACUAGCCGUUGGGGCCUUUGAGGCUUUAGUGGCGCAGCUAACGCGAUAAGUAGACCGCCUGGAGAGUACGGUCGCAAGACUAAAACUCAAAUGAAUUGACGGGGGCCCGCACAAGCGGUGGAGCAUGUGGUUUAAUUCGAUGCAACGCGAAGAACCUUAACUUGGCCUUGACAUACUAGAAAACUUUCCAGAGAUGGAUUGGUGCCUUCCGGGAAUCUAGAUACAGGGGCUGCAUGGCUUGUCGUCCGCUCCCGUCCGUGAAAAGGUUGGGUUAAAUUCCCCGCAACUGGGGGCAAACCCUUUUUCUUUACUUGCCAACGAUUUUCGCAGGGGAACUUUUAAAGGA
rnacentral:rRNA from 1 species